CCGCGCUGUUGUGGCGCGACUCUUCGAGACGACCGCUGUAUCCCGUGGGAUGGCGCAAAAUAAUAAUACGUCAACCGUUAACUGUUGCUCCCCUCCGUCCCCCCCGGUACAUCGACACACAUCGGCACGUAGCCGGGCGUAAGAUGGUUUUCGUUUGUUUAUCGCGAAUUCUGUGGACACAAACGCCGUGCGUGAUGUUUCACGGUCGAGGACACGAGAGGCUCGGCACAGCGCAUGGAGGUUUUUGACGAAACCGCACGAAUUUGAAUUCGCGAGAGACUCGCUUGAGGUCUUGCAGGUAGAAGUUUCGAUUGAUCUCUACCGGUUCGCGAUGUGAAAUUUCUCUCGCUAAUCCGGUAAAAAAAGGCGGAAAAUCUGCUGGAAUUCGGACUCUCACUGAGAUUUUGGCUGUAUCGAGGCAAAAUGAUUGAAUGGUUGCAUGAUGAAAUUAUUCAUGUACUUCAUUACCAUGAAGUAUCGUCAGAGACAAGUCGCCAUAUUUACGAAUUUCGAGGAACGCGGCAAACUUCAGUUCCAAUGAUUCGCGGCACUUUUUCCCGCGCGUUGUGAAACAUGAAAACUAUUAAGCAUUGGAUACAAGGAAAAAGAAAAGCCUGGAAAGAAUACAUCAUGAACCCGUUCAUCGCACUAAUGUGUGAAGUGGCUGUUAUUGAGGGAUGAUGUAUCAUGUGACUGCGAUCACCGGGAAGGUUCUUCGGACUUAGGGUGCGCACACAGGGACCGUGGCACUGGAUACUAGGAUACAGAGAUCAAGUGACUCCCGAGAACCGCCUUCGACUUGACGUGUUCCUUACCCGCAGGAGAGUCAAUCAUUUUUUUAAAAAGAAGAAUUUUUUACAGGUAUUUUUUGCUCUUAAGAAAUUCAUAAAUCAAAAUUAAUUAAACAAUUGUAACACGUUAACCUGUUUACAAACGUUUGUGUAUUGUUUAAUAUUAUUAUACAUAUAAUGAUAAUAAUAAUGCUUGUUAUUAUCAUUAUAUAAUAAUGCUAUGAUAUUAUGUGCUUAUAUGUACCAUAUUUACUAUUCUAAUUUAUUCGUUUCUUAAAAAAAAGAAACAAUAGCAAUUAAAUCGUGCCUCUUUCGGUUUACUCAAAUUUUUGAAACAUUCUUUAAAUGUCUCAUAUUUCCCACGGGGAUUUUUGCGUUGUCCGAGUGAUCAUUCUCGUGUGCACUGCAACGUACACUUUGCGAGAAAAUGCAAUGCGGCGCGAGAGACUUGCGAGAAAUCAGCCUGCUUCCCCGCGCGCGCGACUUACGGGGUUCGAUUUGGACGCGUGUUAUUUUGUGUAACCACCUGUGGUGAGUGCGGCCAAUCACGCAUGAAAGUAACAAUGAAUAGCAUCGAAAUAGGCGGGAUAGACAGCCCAGACCGGUCAUUUUGUCUGGUGUGCGUUCGAGCAUCUGUGCCAUGCGCGCGCGCGUAUGUGUGUGUGUGUGUGUGUGUGUGUGUGUGUGUGUGUGUGCGCGCGCGCGCGCGUGUGUGCACGUGCGUGGGUUUCUCCAUGUGUACACACGCGUGUGCGGUUCACCGGAGUCCACCACGCCUCAGGCAUCCUCUUCCGCAUUUCAUGUCGUUGGAAGAGGAAAAAUUUCGCGAAACAUUCUGUCGAUUAUAUACACGGGGUAAAGAAUAUUCCUGUUAAAUACUGUUUUAUACAAUAUUGGAUUAAAAAUUUGUUUGCAACGAUACAAUUGAUGGGUGCGAUUUGCAUUGCUUUGAAAUGUAAUUAAUUGAGGAUUGAAGAUGCAUUUACAUAUCUCUUUAUAAUAAAAUGCAAUUUAACA